GAUGAACGCUAGCGGCAGGCCUAAUACAUGCAAGUCGAACGAAGUGGCGCACGGGUGCGUAACGCGUAUGCAACCUACCUUAAUCAGGGGGAUAGCCCGAAGAAAUUCGGAUUAAGACCGCAUAGAUUAAGAUGGGCAUGCGUGUCAUUAGCUAGUUGGCGGGGUAACGGCCCACCAAGGCGACGAUGACUAGGGGAUCUGAGAGGAUGACCCCCCACACUGGUACUGAGACACGGACCAGACUCCUACGGGAGGCAGCAGUAAGGAAUAUUGGUCAAUGGAGGGAACUCUGAACCAGCCAUGCCGCGUGUAUGAUGAAGGCUUCGGGUUGUAAAGUACUUUUGGCAGAGAAGCGGUAUCUGCAGAAUAAGCACCGGCUAACUACGUGCCAGCAGCCGCGGUAAUAC
rnacentral:rRNA from 1 species